UUUCUCAUGGGAGCCAAGGUCAUCGCCUUUGCAGAGGCCGGAAGGGCAAAGGUAAACAGAGGCAGACGCCUGCAGAUGGCCAGAAGCAGAGGGAGGGUGAAGAGCCCACGCCAGAGAAAAACAAGGCAUUGUUUGCUGGCACAACUUCACCAAAGGCUAAAGGCAAGUCUGAUGGCCAGGAGCAGGGGGGCAAGCUGCAAAAGCCCACGCCAGUGGAAAACAAGGUUUUGUUUGCUGGCACAGCUUCACCAAAGGCUAAAGGCAAGUCUGAUGGCCAGGAGCAGGGGGGCAAGCUGCAAAAGCCCACGCCAGUGGAAAACAAGGUUUUGUUUGCUGGCACAGCUUCACCAAAGGCUAAAGGCAAGUCUGAUGGCCAAGAGCAGGGGGGCAAGCUGCAAAAGCCCACGCCGGUGGAAAACAAGGUUUUGCUUGCUGCAAAGGCUGCUCCAAAGGCCAAAGCCAGGUUUGUUGUUGAUUCAGG